UCAAUAAAGUGCAGCUUGUUAAAAUGCAAGUACUAACAAUGUUUGCUCUCCUAGUGGUGGCAGCCAUCAGUGCAUUAGGAUCUACUCAUUCUACUGGAGGAUCAUCUCUAAUUACUGAAGAGAAGGUUAAUGAUACUCUGGUAAGAUCAGUAUAUCUUCAAAUAUUACGUGGUAGAGAUGGUCGUGAUGGAGUACCAGGAAGA